rnacentral:sRNA from 1 species
AACUAUUCCAGCGUCUUCAAGAAUACGGU